UAAUAUCAAUCCGAGUCCGUCAGCCUAAAGGACAAACGAGCAACCCCAUGGCGGCGGAACGACAGGGUUCGGUCGGAAACGGCCGCGCCUCCCGUAUUGGAAAGGAGAAAAUUAUGAAAA
rnacentral:ncRNA from 1 species